ensembl:lncRNA
GGGUAAAUUUUAAUGCCAUUUAUAAUUUAGUUGCUUAGUAUAUAGUUACAUUAUCACUCUAGCUCUGAGAUUUUAUUUAUAUGCUGAGAUACAUAUCAAUCAAAUUGAUAAAAAUUUUUAAAAAAUAUUAAAAGCAACAAUAGAAAAGCAACAAAUAACAUCAAAGGGACUCUUGAUAAGGUUAUCAGCUGAUUUUUCACCAGAAAAAGCUCAAGCUCAAUAGAUACAGAUAAAGCUUUUGAUAAAAUUCACUAUCAUUUAUAAUAAAAACUCACUGGAAAGUGUAACCUACCUUAACACAAUAAUGGACAUAUAUGACAAACCAACAGCUAACAUAUUCAAUGGUAAAAAGCUCAAAGCAUUUCCUCUAAAAUCCGAAACAAGGCAAGGAUGUCCUCUCUCUACUUUUACCCAACAUAGUUUUGGAAGUCCUAGCCACAACAUUCAGAGAAGAAAAAGAAAUAAAAGGAAUCCAAACCGAAAAAAGAAGAAGUAAAACUAACUGUUUUUAGGAAAUCUUAAAGACACUACCAGAAAAGUACUAGAGCUCAUCAAUGAGUUCAGUAAAGUUGCAGGAUACAAAAUUAAUACACAGAAAUUCCUUCCAUUUCUAUUCACUAACAAUAAAAGAUCAGAAACAGAAAUUAAGGCAACAAUCCCAUUUUCCAUUGCAUCAAAAAUAGUAAAAAUAACCUACCUAAGGAGGCUAAAGACCUGUACUCUGAAAACUGUAAGACACUGAUGGAAGAAAUCAAAGAUAACACAAAGAGAUGGAAAGAUAUACCAAGUUCUUGGAUUGGAAGAAUCAGUAUUGUCAAAUGAAUAUACUACUCAAGACAAUCUAUAGAUUCAGUGUAAUCCCUAUUAAAUUACCAGUGCAGUUCCCUCCCAUACCCACUCCCUCUAGUCACUGUGAUUUCUCUUUUUUUUCUUUUUUGCUGUGAUCUCUCUUUGGUGAGAGCAGCUAGUCACUAGAGCCACUCACCCACUCACUGCCUUCAACCUCCUCCUCCUCUGAUCCCCAGUGAACCAACUUCUACCUUCUCUGCCAUAACCACCUCUGCCACUGCUGGCUCCACCACUACUUCCCUCACUCUGCGGCCUCCCCUCUAUUCCAGUCCACUCACUUUCAUGCACACACAUGGAUGGAUCUCUCAGAUGUCCUGCUAUGCAGUGGUUUUUUUUCAUGGAUAUCCAAUUUGUGGUUUAGAGGGUAAAGCGUCUGCCUGCUGUGUGGGAGACUUGGGUUUAAUCCUUGAGUCAGGAAGAUCCCCUGGAGAAGGAAAUGGCAACCCACUGCAGUACUCUUGCCUGGAAAAUUCCAUGGACAGAGGAGCCUGAUAAGCUAUAGUCCAUGGGACUGUAGAAGUCACACACGACUGAACAACUUCACUUCAAAAGGGAAGGAAAAAGGGAACAACUCACACUGCCAUGAGGCUGACUUCCCUCAAGUUAAUUUUUCUAUGUGGUGUGAAGUAAAAAUCAAGUUAUUUUUUGCAUACAACCAUUCCAUUAUUUCAGCCUUUCUUGUGGAAAAGAUUAUCCUUUCCCCAUUUUCUUGUAUUGGUACCUUUGUCAAAAUCAUUAACCAUGAAUGUUUGAAGUUUUAUUUUCUUGAUCCCAUUAAUCUAUUAUUCUAUCUUUAUGUAAAUAUCAUAACAUCUUGAUUUGGCUAUACAAAAAGUCUUGAAAUCAGGUAGCAGGUGUAAUUGAAUUUUUCUCUGCCAUUUUCAGGUUGUUCUGACCUUUAUAGAUUCUAUAUAGUUGCAUUUUUAUAUAAUUUUAAAAAUCAUUUAAAAUCAAUCUGCCAAUUUCUACAAAAAAAAGCUCUAUAGAAUUUUUAUUUGUAUUGUAUUGAAUCCAUAGAAUAAUUUCUGAAGCAGUGACAUCUUAAUAUUUAAUCUCUUAGUCUGUAGACAUCAUUGUAAAUAAAUUAGACUUCAUCAAAAUUUAAAACGUUUGCUAGGGUUACUUAAGAAAAAGCAAGUGAAAUACUGAAAGAAAAUAUUUUCAAAGCAUAUACUGUCAAAGACUUGGAUUAAUACAUAAACUUCUACAACUCAAGAGAAGGCAAAAAAAUUUUUUACGUUGGCAAAAGUUUGAAUAGACACUUCACAAAAGAAAAUAAACAGAUGGCAAAUAAGUACAUAAAGAGACUCAACAUCUUUAGUCAUAAGAAAUUUCAAGUUAAAUCAUAAUGAGAUACAACUACACACCCACUAGAAUGGGUCAAAUUAAAUAGACUGAUAAUACCAAGUGUUCAUAAAGAUGUGAAACAAUUAGAACUCUUAGACUGCUUGUAUGAAUAUAAAACGGUAUCACACUGGAAAAAAGUUCGGCAGUUUCUUAAAACAUUAAAAAUAUACCUACCAUGCAACCUACCUAUUUCACUCUUAACAAAGAGAAGUGAAAGCAUAUGUGCACAUAAAUAUUUGUACACCGAUAUUCAGAAUAACUUCAUUUGAAAGAGCAUAAAAUUAAAAAUAACCCAGAUGCCCAUUACCAGCUGAAUGCAUAAACAAUGUCAUUCAUCCAUACAAUGAAGCACUGCUCAUCACCAUAAAGGAAUGAACCAUUGAUACAUGCAACAAUGUGAAUGAAUCUCUAAGUAUGCUGAGUAAAAAAAGCUAAAUAAAAGUCUAAUUUGGUCUUAUUAGACCUAAGUGAUGAAUGAGUUUUUAUUCCCACUGAUUCUCCAUUUGACAGCCCAGUUUUUCCUUGUUCUUAAACCUAGAAAAAAUCAUGAUGUCUCAGAGUGGCUUACAGCAGUCUUAAUUCUUGUGAUCCCAUCCAUUAAGGCCUGCAUACCCAGUACUGAAUAUUACUUAAAUUACUAAUGCCAUCCAGAGUGAGAAGGCAAUGGCAACACACUCCAGUACUCUUGCGUGGAAAAUCCCAUGGGCGAAGCCUGGUAGGCUGCAGUCCAUGGGGUCAUUAAGAGUCGGACACGACUGAGUAACUUCACUUUCACUUUUCACUUUCAUGCAUUGGAGAAGGAAAUGGCAACCCACUCCAGUGUUCUUGCCUGGACAGUCCCAGGGACGGGGGAGCCUGAUGGGCUGCCGUCUAUGGGGUCGCACAGUCAGACAUGACUGAAGCGACUUAGCAGCAGUAGCAAUAGCAGCCAUCCAGAGACUGGUAAUUUAGCUACUAAAGAUUUGACUAGCAUGUUCUAUUUGGUGCCUUUUUACACAGCUUCUCAACCACAAUUCACCUUCACCUUUGAAGGAACAUAAUACACCUUUACUAGGCUACCCAUGAGGUCUCUCAACAUCUUUGCCAUCAUACAAAAUCUUUUCAAACAACAUCUUAACUGCAUUCACCUUUCCCCAGGAGCAUCAGUAUUAAACACAUUGAUGAGGUCGUCCUUUCAGGAGUUUCACUUGAUAGAUUCAUUAAGGACACACAAGUCCAACAUCUUUUAGUCCCUUUAGAGAGCUCUAAAGACAAUGUAUUACUUAAUUACAAAUUUUACUUAAUCUCACUGAUGCCACUAUUUAUAAAUCAGGCCAUCUUAAAUGGGGCUCCCUUCAACAAAAGUCCCUAAAAUCUGUCCAAACUAAAAUCAAGGGCACUUCCGUCAGUGCUUUUAGAGACUCAUUUACUGUAGGGGCUUUGACAGCUCCCUACAUGCACCCUGGAGUCUCUGGACCACCUAUGAUGACCAUAAAUUACCAACAGACUAACCUUCUCAGAUCCAUGCUAUAUAUCAUUAGAGCAGAAAUUGCUGGUCACAUACUGGGAUAUCCUGGAAAUACCAGCUCUCACACACCCCAAGCCUGUGACCGUCUGUACCCAUCUGCCAAUUAUGCCUUGAGCCUAUGGAAGCAGCAUGGCACAAGCCUGGCACUGCUACUGAGGCCUCCUUGAUGCAGGGUGGAGCCAAACCUGGGCCGAAGGGUAUGUUCUGCCUCAAAGAGAAUUGGCCUCCUUUGCUCUUAGUUCCUUGCCAGAUGUCACGACCCCUCCAGAUCCCUUGACCCCCUGAGGAGCCAUUUGGGAUUAACUGAGUGAACAGCAGUAGGGGAGCUCAUAGAGUUUACGGCAUUGCCACCAUCAUAAGUGAAGGAGCUCAGGGCAGUGUUGCUGUUUUGUCUGAGAUGUCCUUGAUGAAGGAUGGUACACAGGGGUCAGCAAAAUUGGCCAAACUGCGGGUAGUUAUCUUAGCACCAAAUGCCCUAGUCAGCCAGUUGCCCCAUCUGCACAUUUUUAUAAACAUUUGUAGUCUUAUUGAGCAAAGAACUAUUGCAGGUGUCUUUUAUAGUCUUCCAGGGAAUUGAAAUUUUUUUACAUUAAGAGAAUUUUGUAAAGGCUAAAAUAAAUGGAAAUCCAAAGGUGCAGUGUUGGUGAGGAUGAUGGAGGAAUCAGAACUUCCCAGCCAAGCUAUAAGUUUUUGCACGUCAUCAAAGAAACAUGCAGUCUCCUGUUACCCUGAUGGAAGACUGUGCAUUUUCUGUUGACUAAUUCCAGACGCUUUUCAUGCUUUGACUUGGUCUAACUGAGAGCAAGACUUGUUGGAAUUAAUCAUUUGGUUUUCCAGAAGGAGCUCAUAAUAGAAGACUCCAUUCCAAUCCUUCUAUAUACACAUCACCUUCUUUGGAUGAAGAAUGGCCUUUGCUGUGUUUGAUCACUAUCAACUUCAACUUGUCUACCCAGCUGUGGAGCAUCGUCCAGCGAGGAAUCUCUAGCAUGAAACUUCGCAAACCACUUUUGACACAUGCAAUCAGUCACAGCACCUUUGCCAUACACCACGCAAAUCUUUUUUUGCAUUUCAGUUGUGUUUUUUCCUUUCUUGAAGUAAUAAAGUAUAAUAUGCCCAAAAUGUUACUUUUUCCUUCCAUCUUCUAUAUUAAAAUGGCUACACAAAAAUCACCAAUUUUGAUAAGCUUUUUAAACAAUGCACAGAUAUGACAGCUGUCACAAUACAAUCUAACAAAAUUGUUUCAAAUGAAGUUAAAGACAACUGAGUGCUACUGGAGCCAUCUUAAUGGAAAAAAGUGAACUUUCUGUCCAACUCAAUAAAUGAUGUUAUUUUCGUUUUAUUGUCUUAUGUACUAAAGUAAUACAGUCCAUUUUUUUCAAAGCCUUGUAUCAUGUUAAAUAUCAAAUUUUCCUUAAUGAUUAAGUUCCUGCUGAUCUUUUAAACAAAGAAAUAAAAAUAUUUAACUGCUGCAAAGUCCUAACCACCAUCUGAGCCUUCAUUGAGUUGUAGUAGCAACAUCAAUUUCACUUUUCACUUUCAUGCAUUGGAGAAGGAAAUG